rnacentral:tRNA from 1 species
GGGCUCGUGGCGCAGCUAGGUAGCGCUGCAGGCUUUUAUCCUGGUUCGGGGAUAGGUCGCGGGUUCAAAUCCCGCCGAGCCCGCCA